rnacentral:rRNA from 1 species
UACGUAGGGGGGCAAGCGUUGUCCGGAAUCAUUGGGCGUAAAGCGCGUGUAGGCGGCUCGGAAAGUCUGGUGUGAAAUCUUGAGGCUCAACCUUAAGCUGUCACUGGAAACUAACGGGCUUGAGUCCGGAAGAGGAGAGUGGAAUUCCUGGUGUAGCGGUGGAAUGCGCAGAUAUCAGGAGGAACACCGAUGGCGAAGGCAGGUCUCUGGGCAUUAACUGACGCUGAGGAGCGAAAGCAUGGGGAGCGAACAGG